rnacentral:rRNA from 1 species
CUGCAGCCCGAGUGGUGAUCGAUUUUAUUGAGCCUAAAGCGUCCGUAGCCGGACUAGUAAACCCUUGGGUAAAUUGGGCAGCUUAACUGUCCAAAUUCCGAGGGGACUGCUAGUCUUGGGACCGGGAGAGGUCAGAGGUACUCAAGGGGUAGGGGCUAAAUCCUGUAAUCCUUUGGGGACCACCAGUGGCGAAGGCGUCUGACUAGAACGGAUCCGACGGUAAGGGACGAAACCCUGGGGAGCGAUCCGGAUUAGAUACCCGAGUAGUCC